CUCUGGGGCUUCGAUUUGGGAACAGCGCCCUCUCAGGGACGGCUGCGAAGACUGAGUUGACCUAGUCAUCACCCUCCCUGCUUUGAAUCCCCUCUCCUUCAGUUGCUGAUGCUGAUGCCAAUUCCCUAGGAAAACAGAAAGUGAUUUAUCUAGAGAGAGAGAGAGAAACAGAAGGAAAGAAAAAGAAACGGCUAAGUCUCACGGCGAGUGAGAGAAUCCAGAAAGUUGGAAUCCAGAAGAGGUUUUAUAAAGGGCUCUUCCUACUUUGCUCCGCACACUCUUUCCACCUUGUGAAGAAAGAUGUGUUUGCUUCUCCUUCCACCAUGAUUGUAAGUUUCCUGAGUCCUCCCCAGCCAUGCAGAACUGUGAGAUAAUUAAAGCUUUUUCCUUCAUAAAUUA